rnacentral:tRNA from 1 species
GUCCCUGUAGCGCAAUGGAUAGCGCAUUGGACUUCUAAUCCAACGAUCAUGUGUUCGAAUCCCACCUGGGAUG